GAUGAAGAACGCAGCGAAAUGCGAUAAGUAAUGCGAAUUGCAGAAUUUCCGUGAGUCAUCGAAUCUUUGAACUCACAUUGCGCCCACUGGUAUUCCGGUGGGCAUGCCUGUUCGAGCGUCAUUAUCCUCCCUCAAACCUCGUGUUUGGUGUUGGACCCAAGUUGUGUGAACAACUGGUCUUAAAGACAAUGACGGCGUCCGUGGGACCCUCGGUGCAACGAGCUUUUAGGAGCACGCGUCGAGUUUCAAGGACCUUCCGGGCCGGUCUCCUUUACCAUUUUACAAGGUUGACCUCGGAUCAGGUAGGAAUACCCGCUGAACUUAAGCAUAUCAAUAAGCGGAGGA
rnacentral:misc_RNA from 1 species